UCGUGGAGCAGAUCCUUCAUGAAUGGCUGCUGACAUCAUCUUGGUGUGCAUCAGUGCUAUUCUGGAGGCCCAAAUCACACAUGAUUCCGUGAAAGAAACUCUGUGCUGGCCAGAGGAUGCACUCACUCUCCAGGCUUUCCUGCAUGGGCCCUCACCAUGGAGUCCUGGAUACUUAGGGCAUCUGGUUGACCACAUGCUUGGGAGAGCACCAAAGAAGGUCCUGGUUUUCAAGCCUCCAGCUUCUCCUUAGAAAGAGUUGACUACCUGUCUGGGCUCCAACUUUUCUGGCUGCUACCAGAGGGUCUGGCCUCUAAACCAUCUGUGUCAAAGAACUGACAGGGCCUGACAUUCACUGGGACCCUAGGCUAGGGGUGACAGAGAGCAAAGCAAAAGUUUGAAAGAGUAUGCAGUCUGAAUGAGCAUGCAGACCUUUGCCACAGCUCCCCUUCCCAGCUCAGUGCAGAGCAAGUAGGAGAUAAACUUCUGCUCUUAGCUUCUCUGUGAGGAGAGAUGAAAUGGACCACACAUCUAGCACCCCAACUUUUCUGACAACUACUAGAAGGACUGACUCCUGACUCACCUGUCUCAGGGCACUGAUGGUACUUGGCACACUCUAGUCUCCUGGGGCCACCAAGAACAAGAACAGCAUUUUGGACAAACACACUGGUUUGAGAGGCACCCAGACUCUCUGACUGGGCUGUGAGGAGGCUCAUCUGUGAAGACUGAGGGAGGUGGCUGUUUUAUCAAAUGUGCAGAAACCAACACAGAGAGUCAAAGACAAUGAACAAACAGGAAAUAUGCCAUAAAUAAAAGAACAAGAUAAAUCUUCAGAAACUGACCCAAACAGAAUGGAGAUAUGUGAUUUACCAGACAAAAAAUCAAAAGACCUGUCACAAAGAUGCUCAGUGAGGUCAGGAGAGCAAUGCAUGAAUAAAGUGAGAAUUUCAACCAAAAAGGUAGAAAAUAUUAAAAAGUGCCAAACAGAAAUCACGGAGCUGAAGAAUAUAAUAAAAGAACAGAAAAAUUUAAUAGAGGGGUUCAAUAGCAGACUAGGUGAACUGAAAGAAAGGAUUAGUGAACUCAAGGACUGGUCAUUGGCAAUCAUUCAGUCACAGCAUUAAAAAGAAAAAAGAAUGAAGGGCCAGGCACAGUGGCUCACACCUGUAAUCCCAACACUUUGGGAGGCUGAGGUGGGUGGAUCACGAGGUCAGGAGAUCGAGACCAUCCUGGCUAACAUGGUGAAACCCCAUCUCUACUAAAAAUACAAAAAAAUUAGCUGGGUGUGGUGGCACGCACCUGUAAUCCCAGCUACUCGGGAGGCUGAGGCAGGAGGAUUACUUGAACCUGGGAGGCUGAGGUUGCAGUGAGCUGAGAUUGCGCCACUGCACUCAGGCCUGGGCAACAGAGCGAGACUCUGUCUCAAAAGAAAAAAAAAGAGAGAGAGAAGAAAAGAAAAAAGAAUGAAAAACAGUGAAGAUACCUUUAAAAACUAAUGAACACCACCCAGCAGAUCUACAUAUGCAUUAUGAGACACUCAGACAUUAUGAUAUCAGUAACACAGAAUGUGGAAUAAGGAGAGGUAAAAUUGCAGAGUACUUCUAUAGAAGUGUUAUCAGUUUAACCUGUUAUAAAUAUAUGUUAUGUAAGCCCCUGGUAACCACAAAGAAACUACCUAUAGAAAUGACACAAAAGAAAAAAAGUUACAAAGCCUAUCAAUGCAAAACAGCACAACAAAAACAGGCAAACAAAACCCAACAAUAAAACACAAAGGAAGACAGCAAGAGAGAAAAAGAGGGACAAAAGAACUACAAGACAAACAGAAAACAGUUUUAAAAAAAUGGCAAUAUGGUGGUUCAUACCUGUAAUCCCAACACUUAGGAAGGCCGAGACGAGCAGAUCACUUGAGGUCAGGAGUUUGAGACCAACCUGGCCAACAUAGUGAAACCUGGUCUCUACUAGAAAUACACAAAAUUUAGCCAGGUGUAGUGGCAGGAGCCUGUAAUCCAGCUACUCGGGAGGCUGAAGCACAAGAAUUGCUUGAACCUGGGAGGCAGAGGUUGCAGUGAACUGAGAUUGUACCACUGCACUCCAGCCUGGACAACAGAGCAAGAC
rnacentral:lncRNA from 10 species